rnacentral:rRNA from 1 species
AGUGAACGCUGGCGGUAGGCCUAACACAUGCAAGUCGAACGGCAGCACAGUAAGAGCUUGCUCUUACGGGUGGCGAGUGGCGGACGGGUGAGGAAUACAUCGGAAUCUACUUUUUCGUGGGGGAUAACGUAGGGAAACUUACGCUAAUACCGCAUACGACCUACGGGUGAAAGCAGGGGAUCUUCGGACCUUGCGCGAUUGAAUGAGCCGAUGUUGGAUUAGCUAGUUGGCGGGGUAAAGGCCCACCAAGGCGACGAUCCGUAGCUGGUCUGAGAGGAUGAUCAGCCACACUGGAACUGAGACACGGUCCAGACACCUACGGGAGGCAGCAGUGGGGAAUAUUGGACAAUGGGCGCAAGCCUGAUCCAGCCAUACCGCGUGGGUGAAGAAGGCCUUCGGGUUGUAAAGCCCUUUUGUUGGGAAAGAAAAGCAGCAGGUUAAUACCCCGCUGUUCUGACGGUACCCAAAGAAUAAGCACCGGCUAACUUCGUG